rnacentral:rRNA from 1 species
CCUACGGGUGGCAGCAGUGAGGAAUAUUGGUCAAUGGACGAGAGUCUGAACCAGCCAAGUAGCGUGAAGGAUGACUGCCCUAUGGGUUGUAAACUUCUUUUAUAUGGGAAUAAAAUGUUCCACGUGUGGGCUUUUGUAUGUACCCUAUGAAUAAGGAUCGGCUAACUCCGUGCCAGCAGCCGCGGUAAUACGGAGGAUCCGAGCGUUAUCCGGAUUUAUUGGGUUUAAAGGGAGCGUAGGUGGAUUGUUAAGUCAGUUGUGAAAGUUUGCGGCUCAACCGUAAAAUUGCAGUUGAAACUGGCAGUCUUGAGUACAGUAGAGGUGGGCGGAAGUCGUGGUGUAGCGGUGAAAUGCUUAGAUAUCACGAAGAACUCCGAUUGCGAAGGCAGCUCACUGGACUGCAACUGACACUGAGGCUCGAAAGUGUGGGUAUCAAACAGGAUUAGAUACCCGAGUGUC